AUUGAACGCUGGCGGCAGGCCUAACACAUGCAAGUCGAGCGGAUGAAGGGAGCUUGCUCCUGGAUUCAGCGGCGGACGGGUGAGUAAUGCCUAGGAAUCUGCCUGGUAGUGGGGGAUAACGUCCGGAAACGGGCGCUAAUACCGCAUACGUCCUGAGGGAGCAAGUGGGGGAUCUUCGGACCUCACGCUAUCAGAUGAGCCUAGGUCGGAUUAGCUAGUUGGUGGGGUAAAGGCCUACCAAGGCGACGAUCCGUAACUGGUCUGAGAGGAUGAUCAGUCACACUGGAACUUAGACACGGUCCAGACUCCUACGGGAGGCAGCAGUGGGGAAUAUUGGACAAUGGGCGAAAGCCUGAUCCAGCCAUGCCGCGUGUGUGAAGAAGGUCUUCGGAUUGUAAAGCACUUUAAGUUGGGAGGAAGGGCAGUAAGUUAAUACCUUGCUGUUUUGACGUUACCAACAGAAUAAGCACCGGCUAACUUCGUG
rnacentral:rRNA from 1 species